GCUGACGACCGGCGCACGGGUGAGUAACACGUAUCCAACCUACCAUCCAUUCGGGGAUAGCCUUUCGAAAGAAAGAUUAAUACCCGAUAGUAUAGCGAUAAGGCAUCUUAUUGCUAUUAAAGAAUUUCGGUGUUUGAUGGGGAUGCGUUCCAUUAGAUUGUUGGUGAGGUAACGGCUCACCAAGUCUUCGAUGGAUAGGGGUUCUGAGAGGAAGGUCCCCCACAUUGGAACUGAGACACGGUCCAAACUCCUACGGGAGGCAGCAGUGAGGAAUAUUGGUCAAUGGACGAGAGUCUGAACCAGCCAAGUAGCGUGAAGGAUGAAGGCCCUAUGGGUCGUAAACUUCUUUUAUAGGGGAAUAAAGUGCGGAACGUGUUCCGUUUUGUAUGUACCCUACGAAUAAGGAUCGGCUAACUCCGUGCCAGCAGCCGCGGUAAUACGGAGGAUCCGAGCGUUAUCCGGAUUUAUUGGGUUUAAAGGGAGCGUAGGUGGACGUAUAAGUCAGUUGUGAAAGUUUGCGGCUCAACCGUAAAAUUGCAGUUGAUACUGUAUGUCUUGAGUGUACAAGAGGUGGGCGGAAUUCGUGGUGUAGCGGUGAAAUGCUUAGAUAUCACGAAGAACUCCGAUUG
rnacentral:rRNA from 1 species